GCUGGGCCUGUUUCAAGCUCCUGCCUGAGAAGUUAAUCCGGAAUGGAAGAGGUUUCCAUGCAGCAAGUGACAGCUGCAGGAAUUGCGGGCAGCAGAGAGGACUCCUCCUCCACAAAGCAGCCUCCCUCAGUUGCAGCUGCACCUGACGCCUGGAUUUGGAGGACUUCUUGGGAUGCAUAGUCAACCCUUUGAAAUUAUCUGAAGGGUUAUGAGCUUCGUAGGAGACAGACAUUGCUUGUUAUAUACCUGGAAUGGGUAGAAGUAGGUG
rnacentral:lncRNA from 1 species